rnacentral:rRNA from 1 species
UGGGGAAUUUUGGACAAUGGGCGAAAGCCUGAUCCAGCAAUGCCGCGUGUGUGAAGAAGGCCUUCGGGUUGUAAAGCACUUUUGUCCGGAAAGAAAUCCUUGGCUCUAAUACAGUCGGGGGAUGACGGUACCGGAAGAAUAAGCACCGGCUAACUACGUGCCAGCAGCCGCGGUAAUACGUAGGGUGCAAGCGUUAAUCGGAAUUACUGGGCGUAAAGCGUGCGCAGGCGGUUUGCUAAGACCGAUGUGAAAUCCCCGGGCUCAACCUGGGAACUGCAUUGGUGACUGGCAGGCUAGAGUAUGGCAGAGGGGGGUAGAAUUCCACGUNUAGCAGUGAAAUGCGUAGAGAUGUGGAGGAAUACCGAUGGCGAAGGCAGCCCCCUGGGCAAUACUGACGCUCAUGCACGAAAGCGUGGGGAGCAAACAGGAUUAGAUACCCUGGUAGUCCACGCCCUAAACGAUGUCAACUAGUUGUUGGGGAUUCAUUUCCUUAGUAACGUAGCUAACGCGUGAAGUUGACCGCCUGGGGAGUACGGUCGCAAGAUUAAAACUCAAAGGAAUUGACGGGGUCAUAGCUGUUUCCU